GGAUGAACGCUAGCUACAGGCUUAACACAUGCAAGUCGAGGGGCAUCAGGAAGAAAGCUUGCUUUCUUUGCUGGCGACCGGCGCACGGGUGAGUAACACGUAUCCAACCUGCCCUUUACUCGGGGAUAGCCUUUCGAAAGAAAGAUUAAUACCCGAUGGCAUAAUGAUUCCGCAUGGUUUCAUUAUUAAAGGAUUCCGGUAAAGGAUGGGGAUGCGUUCCAUUAGGUUGUUGGUGAGGUAACGGCUCACCAAGCCUUCGAUGGAUAGGGGUUCUGAGAGGAAGGUCCCCCACAUUGGAACUGAGACACGGUCCAAACUCCUACGGGAGGCAGCAGUGAGGAAUAUUGGUCAAUGGGCGCUAGCCUGAACCAGCCAAGUAGCGUGAAGGAUGAAGGCUCUAUGGGUCGUAAACUUCUUUUAUAUAAGAAUAAAGUGCAGUAUGUAUACUGUUUUGUAUGUAUUAUAUGAAUAAGGAUCGGCUAACUCCGUGCCAGCAGCCGCGGUAAUACGGAGGAUCCGAGCGUUAUCCGGAUUUAUUGGGUUUAAAGGGAGCGUAGGUGGACUGGUAAGUCAGUUGUGAAAGUUUGCGGCUCAACCGUAAAAUUGCAGUUGAUACUGUCAGUCUUGAGUACAGUAGAGGUGGGCGGAAUUCGUGGUGUAGCGGUGAAAUGCUUAGAUAUCACGAAGAACUCCGAUUGCGAAGGCAGCUCACUGGACUGCAACUGACACUGAUGCUCGAAAGUGUGGGUAUCAAACAGGAUUAGAUACCCUGGUAGUCCACACAGUAAACGAUGAAUACUCGCUGUUUGCGAUAUACAGUAAGCGGCCAAGCGAAAGCAUUAAGUAUUCCACCUGGGGAGUACGCCGGCAACGGUGAAACUCAAAGGAAUUGACGGGGGCCCGCACAAGCGGAGGAACAUGUGGUUUAAUUCGAUGAUACGCGAGGAACCUUACCCGGGCUUAAAUUGCAGUGGAAUGAUGUGGAAACAUGUCAGUGAGCAAUCACCGCUGUGAAGGUGCUGCAUGGUUGUCGUCAGCUCGUGCCGUGAGGUGUCGGCUUAAGUGCCAUAACGAGCGCAACCCUUAUCUUUAGUUACUAACAGGUUAUGCUGAGGACUCUAGAGAGACUGCCGUCGUAAGAUGUGAGGAAGGUGGGGAUGACGUCAAAUCAGCACGGCCCUUACGUCCGGGGCUACACACGUGUUACAAUGGGGGGUACAGAAGGCAGCUAGCGGGUGACCGUAUGCUAAUCCCAAAAGCCUCUCUCAGUUCGGAUCGAAGUCUGCAACCCGACUUCGUGAAGCUGGAUUCGCUAGUAAUCGCGCAUCAGCCACGGCGCGGUGAAUACGUUCCCGGGCCUUGUACACACCGCCCGUCAAGCCAUGGGAGCCGGGGGUACUUAAAGUACGUAACCGCAAGGAUCGUCCUAGGG
rnacentral:rRNA from 1 species